AAAUAAAUUUUUGUUUCUAUCACAAUUACAACAAUUUUCAUUUUAUUUUUAGUAAUAACAAUUAAUACCUAUGUUCUUAGGCAUGUAAAAUUUGUAUGUCUAUACAAGUAAUAGAGAUGCAAGUAAUCUAAGAGACUGAUACAAGUAAUAUAAAAAUCUAUUUUAGUGUAUAUUCUUUAAAUUGUUUCUGACUAAACUACCAAUUCAUAACAUAUUUUUGAAACUUAUUAAUAAAAGUCUAAAAAUUAUUCAGUGUCUUUAAUUAUUAUGUUACUUUUAAGUAAUGCAUAUUAAAUAUUUAUUCGAGUAGAAAAGUUACUUAUCUUUGUCUUUUCUCUUCUCUUUAUCUGUUUUAUAUUUUAUUGUUUUAAGCUGUUAAAAUCUAAAGUCACGUAGAGAAUACAAUAAGAGAUCGCGAAACCAUCCAACUUCCCUUCUCAUUCUAUUAUGAAUCCUGGAAACGACUACGGUUGUUCACCGCGUGGAAGGAUUCAUUGUUUGGAAGCGCGGGAACUUCGGUGCGACUUGUUAAGCGAAGAAAACUCUUCUCACGGUGCAAAGUUCACGGCCAGCGCGUCGAUCUUUAUCUACGUAGCCAUGUCCGGGGAUCCCUCGAGUCGUUACACACUAAAAUUACGUCGCCAAUAAUGAGGACGUAAAGUCUUCGAAUAAUUUCGCUACCACGUCCUUGUACGAAAACUACUAUAUAUCAAAGCGUGAUAGAAAUCUUUACUUUUUACUCUUCGGGAAUCAAAGCCUCUAGAAAAAGAGGCAAAUGUUCUUUAUCGUAGUUCCGGCUUGAUCCUUUGGUAGUACUCGCUUUGAUCGUAGUAAUUCGUCAACGGCAACACGGAUAAUAGUCGCACUACGUUACACCGGCUGCGUCGAGGUAACGUCUGCCAUAUGCCAAGCUGAAAACCGGCCGUAAUUUUUGCUGGCAUCACUGCCGUAAGGAAAUCGAAAAACAGAAUAUAAGCUCGUUCUUCUGCUAUCUAAUAGACAUCAUACUUACGUUUGCAACAAUAUUUAUUUAAAUCUGUUAUACGUAUAUUUAGUUCUUUGAACAAUAAUUGAAAUUUCCAAAUAUGAAUUUAUUUCUUGACCAAUUUUUUUUUUCAUACAUUUUGUUCCAUUAGAGAGAUUUUUUUGUUUGACAAAUAUCGUGUCAUGUAUAUAUUUCCACGAAGAUAUUUUAAUAAGCAUUUCUGCUCAUGCUCGUUUUAUAGUUCCAUGGGUUGUUGCUUAUUAUGUAUCGUUUAACUUUAGAACUGCAAAUGGGAUAGAAUUGUGAAAAGUAUAGUAAACUGAAUAAGAAUGUAGAUUUCAUAUUUUAAGUGAAAUGAUCCAAUUCGGCUUAAAGUAUACCGUUGCAUCUUACAUCUGUACUCUAGAAUACCCUCGGUUGGUACUUCCACUUUGGUGAGCUUGUUUUUGAAAUAUAAUAAUGUUUUAUAAAUACAUAUGGUGGUUUUGUUUGUUAUAUACAAAAGGUUAACUCGUAAACGCAUUUAUUUUAUGGUAAUAGUUUAAUAAGAAACAUAGCUAGUUCACCAUUUUAUUAACAUGCGAUUUUACCGUCAUGGAACUAAAAUGCAAAAUGAUAUUAUAGAAGUUUUAUUACAUAUCAUACGUAUUUUAUAAUCUUUUUGUAAUCUAAACAUUGAAAAUCAGGUAAUUAUGUAGAAGAUGGUACGCCCUACCGAUUUUAAUAAUUUUAAGAUAUAUUGUUAAAGUCAACAUUCUGAACAACUUCUUCAAAACUUUUUCCUAUACAUAUAAGCUGCUGCACGACUUUAGUUUCCGAGGUAUUCAUAAAAAUACUUUUACUACUUUUUAUCUUGGUGUGGGUUAAGUUUGAGUUAGCUUUGUAUACGGACAUGAUAAUAUUAUAGAUGUGUUUGUGCCGCGAUGCAUUUAUAGUUUAUAUGUACAUAUGAACUUCAGUCGUCUCACGUUCCAAUUUGUAAACACAGAGAGAUAAGAAAGGAACUCAACUUAUUGCUAAUUUACUUGCUUCAGCUAUACGAGAGCUGCGAACGAAUAUGUGUAUAUAAUACCAUGUCCGUACCUCAAGUUAAGUCAAAUCUAACUCAAACUAAGAUAAAAGGUAGCAAAAGUGUUUUAUGAAUAUCUCUUAUGAAACUAAACUGAAAGGCAGUUAGAUGUUUAGGAAAAAGUUGUUCAAAAUCAUGCUCCUGGUAACAUGUUUGAAGAUGAUUGAAAUCGAGAUAUUGGCAACAUGAAGUAGACGUGCUAUCUGUAUCAGACGACGUCAAACAACUACUACAACUACAAGAAGAAUUUGAACUUGAUUCACUUAGAUUAACGCGCGAAAUUGCAUUAGGAUUUCGAAAAUUACAACAAUAACAAGGUUGACAUUUUCAUUCUGCCCUGAUGAUGAAAUUGUGCUAGUAUCGCUAAGUCUCGCAAUUUUUGCUUCAGACAGAAAUAUUGGUUUGAAAUCGUAAUUAACUGUUCUUGUACCGUACAUCUCAUAAGCAAUUUUUGAUUCAUUCAAUUUCGAUUCUUUCAGUUGCAUUUGUUGCGCUAGAUUUUGUUGCUUUCUUUCUUCUUGUACCUUUUCUUCUUGCAGGCAACCAGGAGUAGCAUUUUGCAUAUUUAGCACAGGAAAAAUGGGUUUAUUAUCUUUGGUUGGAGAUUGCUUGUCCUUUUCUGAUAUUAUCAUCGGAAUAUAGUUCUUAUUAUGAUCGAAAUAUUUAUACUCGUUAUUAUUGGAAUCUUUGUAGGUUCUUUUCUUAUAAAUUAUUUUCUUAGUGCGUUUUUUAUUAAUAAAUCUUUGUUUACUUUUAUUAUAAUUCUCGCCUAUUUCCUCAUUUUCUGAUGAUAAUUCUACUAAUGAUAAAUCUAUGUCUGGUGAGAAUUUAUUAUUGUUGUAG